UGUGCCACCAGGGGCCCAGGAGGUCCUGUGGCAGUGAGGGGCACCCAUGAGAUAAAAGUCUUCCCCAUGAUGCCUUCAGAUUUUAGCUUUUAUAUUUUUCAGAUCCUGUACUGCAUUAGUGUAGAGCUCUGAAAUGCAUAUUGAGUGUUAGAAGCUCUCUUCACAUUUUGGCCAGACAAAAAUCCCUCUGGGCCUGCAGCUCAAGGACGCCCUCUGCCUCAGGCCCCAAAAGUAUAAACAAGAAAAUUAAAUAUUAAAAAUCUGCUGCAGAGAAGAAACCAUAACUGCCAUAAGCCUGUUCCUAUGGUUCUUUCAGAAGAAAUCAGCCUCCCACCAGUGAGCUCUGAACAUGAAAUGGCUCCAAAUUGCUGCGUCCCUCCCGUGUGAGGAAGGCUUCUCAAAAGUGGCUCAAGACUCGUGUUCUUCUCCUUCCCCAUCCCAGCACGGCCCUACAGAAGGUUGUGCACUCCCAAAGAUGCCAAAGCAGCAUUACUUACACUCCAGGCUCCUCCUGGCACUUCUCUCUUUCCCUCUCAGGCUGACCCUCGAGCUGCUGUGAGUGUCCUGUGUCCUGUGUCCCCGUGGGGCUGUGGCAGUGCCAACCUGCUUUAAAUACUCCCUGCACCUUUAGCCCUGCGUUUCCACCUGUUGUGCCUUAAAGGAACAACAUCCAGCAGUGCUGCCAGGACCAGAAGACCCCUGUUGGCUCUGGGUGCAUUGGAGUGAGAACAUGAAAUCACCAAAUUUUUGAGCCACUAUUCCACUAAUUUUUUUCAGUGGAGUCCUUCUCACUGGUACAAAUUCCUCCAGAUUAGAUACAGUUUAAAAUAUUUUCUGAGAUGAUUUUUACAGGAGCUUUUCUCUAAAAAGCAUCAACAAUCUGAGACUCUUACAUAGAAGCUGGUCAUCCUGAUAGUUCCAAGGAUAGCAGAGAUUGUCCUGCACAACAGAACAAAAGAGAAUGACAUGGUUGCAACACUGAGAACAAUAAUUACUUUUGUCUAAUACUGAGAAAGGAGAUAUGAAAUCAGAAUUUACUGAAAGAGGCAGGAAGUGAGAUAACAGCUUUACUGCUUGCAAUCAGAAAUUAUAAUCGACCCUACAAUAAAUAUAUAAACUUGA